AUUUUAAGAGCCAGCCCACAAGUACACAGCCCAUAGCGGCGCGCCUCUCUAAUCUCUAUCCCGAAACCCUAGCCAAGUCCCGCAGCCGCUCCUUCUCCCUUUGCCCAUCUCUCUCCCAAUCCUUCCCAGCCGCCUCCCUCCCCUCGCCAAUCCACAUGCUCAGAACAGCCUCCCUCCCCACUUAGGCACCUGCGGAUGCCAUCUCGUCGCCGAUGGGGCAUGGUCCUGGCGCGGACCCAAGAUGGAGUAGCGCCAGAUCUGGAGCGGAAGCAAUAUGUGGCGGUCAGAGACCUUGCCGACCUGCGAUGAUGCGCGUCGGUAGCUGCUUGCCUAGCAACGACUAACCGGGCAACGGGGAUCGGCGGCCCACUUGGCGAAUGCGUGUGUCGGCUCCUCUCAUCGACAUCUUCACUAUCAUGGUGUCGGCCCUGUCUCUCCUUCUCCACCAGGUUUGUCAAGGAAGGAACUAUGCCAUGCGUCUACCAGAGCGCCACACCCCCAGUCCAUCUCUUUCGCUAGCUCUGUCGCCGAUUCCCCGUCCGUUGUGCCAGUUCCCGGGUCAACACGAUGAGCCUGCUGGAACUUACGGUAGCCACGCUGCUAGCAUCGAGCUCUUCCUCCACCUGCACGGCUCUUCUUUCGUUUAUGCUCCUCGUUUUCCACAGGAAGCCCAGAGCCGCAAACCCAUGCAGUUUGUUCCUUCCACAACUUCAAACUGAGGUAAUGCAACUAUGUCUUGUGUUUCAGAGCACGAGUGAGUGACAUUUAACCACAUACGUUUGUCGGUACUUUGGACUUCCACAUGGCAUCAUUUCAGUCACUAGAUAUACGCAACUUGGGAUUGAUUUUGGAUUUUUGUGUGGUUUUCACCACCUCGAUGCAGCAUACUAUUCAAGCAUCAAAGUAUGUCAAGGUGACCCGGUUUCAAACAUACAAACUGUGUCGAUGCAUGAGUGGUAGUGCUAAAGCUUAUGUAGAAAUCUUAUUAAGAACCUGAUUAUAUAAGGUUCAUAUUAUACCACCCUCUAUUUGUGCAUCAGCAUUAGGUGUCUACCUUCGAUCCAUAUGCUUCAAUGUUGUUCUUUUUUUAGCUACAGGUUCAGGUUUUGAACUAAGAAUCCAAACAAAAUUGAUAGAAAUAUGUAAAUAAAUAGCGGUAAAUUUGGUUAUGUUUGUUCAUUUCGCAUGCAAUGUCUGGUCCUUUCAGUUUGUCCUGUCCCUCAAGAUCCAUGAUAAGAAUACUGAUAUGCUAGCAUGUUGUAUUCAUUCAUUGAAAAGAGAGAACGAGAGGGUGAGAGUUAAGAUUUAUUUCAGUUUUAUUCUUCAAUGAUGAUAAUACAUAGUCCAGCUUCUCCCUUCUGCAGUACUACACUCAUUUACACAUGUUUGAUGUUUCCAUCCAGUGACCCGCAAGAGCACACAAGAAAGCGCUCACCGAAUCAAACAACACAAGUCUAUCUUGUAGGUUUCUCAGGUGAUGAUGGCAACGCCUCUACUGUGUUCGCCAAUAGUUCAGUCGCAUGUCUAGGAGGAGAAGUCUUGACAUGCCAUCGGCACCGACUCUAGCGCCCAUGGAUCCGGCUACCUGCUCAUGUGGUGUUUCUCGUUUCCACUCGUCGUUGAUGUUGGUAUAGCCCUCUGUUUGUCGCUCCUCCUUCGCUUCGUCAAACCUACUGUCCCCAUCUUCUGUCACCAUAAGGCUCUAUGUGGACCAAGUGGUUAGAAGGGAGACGACGCACACAAAUAUUUUGAAGAGAAAGCAAGUUUAUUUUGUGUGCUACUUUGUAAGAUUGUGUGCAAUGCUAGUUUUUGUCUGCAACUGUCUUCGAGUAUUUAGCAGCUUGAAAGCUUUAUGUUGGGUAUAUUGUAAGUUUAGGGGACCUCAUAUGAAGUUUCCGUUGAUGUAAAGUUGAAUAUUGUACCAUGUUGGAUAUUGUUAAAUGAAUUGAUAUGAAAA